GACGAACGCUGGCGGCGUGCUUAACACAUGCAAGUCGAGCGGACGGACCCUGAUCUUGUGGGUUGCUCGUUUGGCGCGCGGGUGUGUGUCACGUGUGUAUCCUGCCCUUGUCUUUGGGAUAACUUCUGGAAACUGCGGAUAUUACCGGAUAUAAUCUCCUGCUCCAUGGUGUGCGUUGGAAAGUUUCGGCGGUUGUGGAUGUACUCGCUGCUUAUCAGCUUGUUGGUCGGGUAGUGGGUUACCAAGGCUGUGACGGGUAGCCGACCUGGGAGGGGGACCAGCGACCUUGGGACUGAGGUACGGCCCAGACGCCUACGGGCGGCAGUAGGGGAGAAUAUGGCACAAUGGGCGGAAGCCAGAGGCAGCAACGCUGCGAGCGGGAUGAUGGGUUACGGGGUGUAAACAGCUGUGUACGGUGACGAAGCGAGAGUGACGGUAAUGGGUAAAGAAGCACCGGCUAACUACGUG
rnacentral:rRNA from 1 species